rnacentral:rRNA from 1 species
CGUAAGAGGUAGGCGGAAUUCGUCGUGUAGCGGUGAAAUGCAUAGAUAUGACGAAGAACUCCGAUUGCGAAGGCAGCUUACUGGGCCGCAACUGACGCUGAAGCUCGAAGGUGCGGGUAUCAAACAGGAUUAGAUACCCUGGUAGUCCGCACAGUAAACGAUGGAUACUCGCUGUCGGCGAUAUACAGUCGGUAGCCAAGCGAAAGCAUUAAGUAUCCCACCUGGGGAGUACGCCGGCAACGGUGAAACUC